rnacentral:lncRNA from 1 species
UUUGAACUUGAAGAAAACAACGUGAGAAACGAAAUCGAAGUAGAACAUUCCAGAAUCCAGAUCAUCACAGAAGGCCUUGAGAUAUUUUCGGGCUUCUGGAACUCUCGUUAUCAAUGGGGUCUACUCCACAAUUCCAUUUUUUUGUUCUUAAAAAUGUGAGCCAGAGAUUGAAGAAAGAAAUUCGACGUGCUUAUCGUAAGCUUGCAAUGGUAUGGUGUACAAAAAUGUCUAUGUUUGAUAUUUAAAAUGAAAUGUGCGAAUGAUGAUAAAAUUUGUUCAGCAAUGGCAUCCUGACAAACACAAAUUUCAGCAAAUUGAAGAAGCAUAUUCAGGUAAUUGGGCACAGGAAAAAGAUGACUUACAUGUUGAAUUAUUUGUGUGAAUUUUGAUUUGGACUUGGUUAAACAGAUCGGACAAAGCGAAUAUUGAUCGUACAAUCACAAGCCCUCUUUUAUGUUAAUUGAAUGCAUAAAUUGUGUGUUCUUGUUUCAGGGUUUCUCCGAUUUUGUUCAAGAAAUGGUGUCUCUCGUGAAUGGCACUUGCUCUGUUUAAUCAAGUAUUGGGCUUAGUUGGUGAAUUCGUUAUGAUGAAAUUGAUAUUGAAAACAGCAUGGAACAAGUGCAAGGCAUGUUUUGGGAGAUGGAUGCGAUUCCUAAAUGGACAUGUGAAGAAACAAGUUCAAAUAUGACUGUAACUUCUUCUCAUCAUCGCCAAGAGAUGGUAUUGAAGAAGUGAAGCCCAUGUUUUGAUACUCAUGUUAUCAUCAACUACCAAGAGUUUGAGGCCUUCUUGUAAAUAAAUGUUAUGCUUGUGAUUCUAGGUAUCACUUGCAGUAAUUGAUCCACAGAAUUUUGCUUUGUGAAAAAUGAGAAUUAGUACUAGUAUUUUUUGCUGUUUUUACUAUUGGGCAUGUACAUGCACCAACCACUACCAAAAUAGACCGGCCACAUGCUAUUGUCGUGUUUAUGGAUGGAAACAUUAAUAUACGUUUCAAAUGGAUGAUUUACAAAGGUAUUCCACUAAGUUUAUUAUGAAGAGCUUAUAAAGUGUAAUGUUUUGAGUGUUUAUGAGUUGUUGAAGUAUUUGAAUUUAU